rnacentral:rRNA from 1 species
GCCCUGAAAAUGGAUGGCGCUAAAGCGUCGUGCCUAUACCGGGCCGUCAACGGCAUAGUUGGCCUCUGCCUUCGGGCAAGAGCCGUUACGUCUUGACGAGUAGGAGGGUCGCGGCGGUGUGCGCAGAAGGGUCUGGGCGUGAGCCUGCCUGGAGCCGCCGUCGGCGCAGAUCUUGGUGGUAGUAGCAAAUACUCUAGAGAGGGCCUGGAGAGCCGAUGUGGAGAAGGGUUUCUUGUGAACAGCCGUUGUACAAGAGUAAGUCGAUCCUAAGUGCUAGGAGAAAUCCGAUGUUGAUGGUCUGGCUGUCGACUCUAUUCUCAACACUUAGAAAACGCUUCAGGCUUCAGGGCCGUAAAAGCGUAGGCUUUAUCUCAUACCAUACACCUAGUGUGGAUUGCCCUGACGUGUUUUCCGGUGGGCUGUAGCUUACACGCUUCAGUCUGUACGGACUUUUUCUCGCGUCAGGGUAGCCCAGGUUCUACGACACGUGUGUGGUGUCUUGCUAGCUGCACCGAAGGUGUUGGAACUAGCCUCGGAGCUUUUGCCGUUGAAGGGCGAAAGGGAAUCCGGUCAACAUUCCGGAACCCGGCUGCGUAAACCGCUCUCUGUUGGCGUAAGCCGGCGAGCGCUUGUUGGGGUAACCCAAGCUGUCCCGGAGACUCUGGCGGGGGGUCUGGGAAGAGUUUUCUUUUCUUUUUAAGCGUUCGUGGACCCUGGAAUUCUAUAGCAGAGAGAUAGGGUUUGGAACGCGAAAAACAUCGCAGUUGCGGCGGUGACCGGACUUCCCCCCCGGACCUUGAAAAUCUGGGUGAGAGCGACGCGGUGAUCGCGCCGGUUCGUAUCCAUAUCCGCAUCUGGUCUCCAAGGUUCAAAGCCUCUUGUCGUAGAAUAGUAGGUAAGGGAAGCGGAAAUUGGAUCCGUAACUUCGGGACAAGGAUUGGCUCUGAGGAUCGGGGCGUGUCGGGCUUGGUCGGGAAGCGGGUCAGUGCCAACGUGCCGGGCCUGGGCGAGUGUCGUGUUGGUAUCCUUGGCAGCAAUGUCGUUUCCCACGAUCCGAACUCGGUCCCGUGCCUUGGCCUCCCGCGGAUCUUCCUUGCUGCGGGUUUUCGACCAAGCAGACCAGGCUGGGGCUUCAGGCCCGCUUGGACGGCUUCGAAUCAAUCCCUUCGGCCGCCAUUCAACGGUCAACUCAGAACUGGCACGGACAAGGAGAAUCCGACUGCCUAAUUAAAGCAAAGCAUUGCGAGGGCUCUAGCCGAGUGCUUACGCAAUGUGAUUUCUGCCCAGUGCUCUGAAUGUCAACGUGUAGAAAUUCAAGCAAGCGCGGGUAAACGGCGGGAGUAACUAUGACUCUCUUAAGGUAGCCAAAUGCCUCGUCAUCCAAUUAGUGACGCGCAUGAAUGGAUUAACGAGAUUCUCACUGUCCCUAUCUACUAUCUAGCGAAACCACAGCCAAGGGAACGGGCUUGGAAACAUUAGCGGGGAAAGAAGACCCUGUUGAGCUUGACUCUAGCUGGCACUGUAAGGAGACAUGAGAGGUGUAGCAUAAGUGGGAGAAGGUGGGCUUUAUGCCUGUCCGUCGACGGUGAAAUACCACUACUUUCAUCGUUUCUUUACUUACUCGGAUAGGCGGAGAGCGUGUCCGUCGAGGGUUCAGCCCACGCGGACCGGUAUUCUCGCGCCAAGCGUCCGGGUUGCCGGCAAGCGCCCGUCAGGCUUGGGCGUGUCGUUGAUUUGUCACCGCAAGGUGGCGGUCUUUGCUCACGUCCCUCGCCUUGGCUGGGCGCCGUCGACCGGCAAAUACUCCCACGCGUGAUCCGAUUCGAGGACACAGCCAGGCGGGGAGUUUGACUGGGGCGGUACAUCUGUCAAAUGAUAACGCAGGUGUCCUAAGGCCAGCUCAGCGAGGACAGAAACCUCGCGUAGAGCAAAAGGGCAAAUGCUGGUUUGAUCCCGAUGUCCAGUAGGCAUAGGGACUGCGAAAGCAGGGCCUGUCGAUCCUUUUGGCUUGAAGAGAUUUCAGCAAGAGGUGUCAGAAAGUUACCACAGAUAACUGGCUUGUGGCGGCCAAGCGUUCAUAGCGACGUCGCUUUUUGAUCCUU